AACGAACGCUGGCGGCAGGCUUAACACAUGCAAGUCGAACGGUUGUAGCAAUACAGCAGUGGCAGACGGGUGAGUAACACGUGGGAACCUUCCUAGGGGUACGGAACAACUCAGGGAAACUUGAGCUAAUACCGUAUACGUCCGUGAGGAGAAAGAUUUAUCGCCCUUAGACGGGCCCGCGUCGGAUUAGCUAGUUGGUGGGGUAACGGCCUACCAAGGCGACGAUCCGUAGCUGAUCUUAGAGGAUGAUCAGCCACACUGGGACUGAGACACGGCCCAGACUCCUACGGGAGGCAGCAGUGGGGAAUCUUGGACAAUGGGCGCAAGCCUGAUCCAGCCAUGCCGCGUGAGUGAAGAAGGUCUUCGGAUUGUAAAGCUCUUUUGCCAGGGACGAUAAUGACGGUACCUGGAGAAUAAGCCCCGGCAAACUUCGUGCCAGCCGCCGCCGUAA
rnacentral:rRNA from 1 species